CUUCUGGGGGUCAAGUAAGGUGCCGCCAUUUAUAAAUAAGUAUUAGGAAGUAAAACUUUCGGUCAUCAUGGUUCACUUUUGCGCUGUUUUUGCAUGCUCGAAUCGAUCUAAUAGAGAAAAUAAUAGACGGUUUUUUCGCCUACCUGCUGUCAAAAGUAAUGUGAAUGUGAACAAGAAGCAACUUCAACUUGAAAGGCAAAAGGAAUGGCUUUGACGAAUUCGCAGGGAAGAUCUUACGCCAGAAAAGUUUGCGAAUGCUCGUGUGUGUAGCGACCACUUCAUAUCAGGCAAACCAGCAGACCUACAAAAGAAAGAUGACCCAGACUGGGCACCAAGUCAAAAUCUUGGCCACAACAAUGUGAAAAAGAUAAACACAGAACGAUCGUCUCGCUACCAAGGGACAAUUGAAAAGACGAGAAGAUCUGAAACUGCUAAUGCCCUUAUAGCAAUGUCAAGCGAGCAGCCCAAUGAGGUUGUUGAUAAAAUGGACACCUCUGAACCAAAGGCAAAUGAAAUGUCAACACAGACUGAUUAAGCUGUCAAUGAGCUGAGGUUACUUGAAGAUGAGGUGGAUUUUCUAAGGAUGGAAAAUUCUGA